rnacentral:rRNA from 1 species
GACGAACGCUGGCGGCGUGCCUAAUACAUGCAAGUAGAACGCACAGUUUAUACCGUAGCUUGCUACACCAUACACUGUGAGUUGCGAACGGGUGAGUAACGCGUAGGUAACCUGCCUGGUAGCGGGGGAUAACUAUUGGAAACGAUAGCUAAUACCGCAUAAUAUUGAUUAUUGCAUGAUAAUUGAUUGAAAGAUGCUAUUGCAUCACUACCAGAUGGACCUGCGUUGUAUUAGCUAGUAGGUGAGGUAACGGCUCACCUAGGCGACGAUACAUAGCCGACCUGGGAGGGUGAUCGGCCAAACUGGGAAUGAGACAAGGCCCAGAAUCCUACGGGAGGCAGCAGUAGGGAAUCUUCGGCAAUGGACGAAAGUCUGACCGAGCAACGCCGCGUGAGUGAAGAAGGUUGUCGGAUCGUAAAGCUCUGUUGUAAGAGAAGAAAGGGUGUGAGAGUGGAAAGUUCACACUGUGACGGUAUCUUACCAGAAAGGGACGGCUAACUACGUG